rnacentral:lncRNA from 1 species
GAGUUCCCACUGUGGCACAGUGGGUUAAAAAUCCAACUGCAGCAGCUUGGAUUGCUGAGGAGGUACAGGCUUGGCAUAGCUUGCAGCAGUGGCUCAGAGUCAGUCCGUGGCCUGGGCACCUUCCGUAUGCUGCAGGUGUGGCCAUAAAAAGAAAAAGGAAAUAAUAAAAAAGAAUUACUGAGUGACUUUAAAACCAACACAAGAGUUCCUGUUGAGGUUCAACGGGUUAAGAACCCAGUGCUGUCUCUGAGGAUGUGGCUUCGAUCCCUGGCCUCACACAGUGGGUUAAGGAUCCAGUGUUGUCACAAGCUACAAUUUAGGUUGCAUAUGCAACUCGGAUCCAGCAUUGCCAUGGCUCUGGUGUAGGCUGGCAGCUGCAGCUCCAAUUUGACCUCCAGCCUGGGAACUAACAUAUGCUGCAGGAGCGGCCCAAGAAAUAGCAACAACAAAAACAACAAAAAAGACAAAAAAAAAAAAAAACGUGUUGUGCUACCUGCCUGUACAUUUUGUUUUAAGAACAAUGAAAAGAUGCACAGUUGAAUGCUUCAUUUAAAAAAAAGCUCAAAUGCUCUCUGAAAGAAAAAGAUGAAGUGCACUUUAUAUUUGUGACCUAUGAUUUUUUUUUUCCCCCCUCUUGCUCUGUGUAUCAGUGCCUCUCCCUGGAAAAGAGCCUUAGGCUAUUUUUAAAGACCUUGUUGAGUGGAGAUGUAAAGAAGAAGCAUAGAGAUAUUGUACAACUUUAUUUUUAGCACUACAGACUAUGUAUCUACCUCUCAAACUCAGGAAAAUAGCUCCCAACAUUCAGUGGACCCGUUACUCUGUACCAAGAUCUGAUGUCGUGUUUGUUCUUGUGUCACAUAUGUUGGCUCUUGUUUUUCUCUCUUGAUGCUUUUUGAGUCCAUGCAUUGAGAUUUUAGAAAGAAUGUUAACGUUUAAGGGUUGGUGGUUAAUGUAUUUGUGUGUGUUGGGUGUCUGUAAUAUGGAAAUUGAAAAUAGGGUCAUUAUUAAUCAAUUAGUCAAUAGAAGUAGGCAGAUGCUUUCUCAGUUCUAUGCCAUGCACGUAUUAUUUCUUAUAAAACUGUGCACUAACCCAAGGUUGCUUUUUAAAAGUACUGUUAUUUUUUAAGGACUGUUAUUGUUUAGUAUCAACCUUCUUGUAAACGAGCCACACUGAUAGAUAAGAUAUUAAUAUUUGCAAGGGUGGAAGUAGAACACGCAUUGAAGAGGCUAGGGUGAAAUGUAUUUACAGAGGAAUUGUAUUUACUUUCAGACUGUUUAAAGAUUCAUAUUCUUAAACUCCGCUCUGCUUGGGAUGCCCUUCACCUUUAGCCCUUUGAAUAAAUUGAUAUUCAUCCCUCAGGUCCACUCCUCCUCCUUAGAGCUUUCUGGGCCUGACCCUUUUGGGCUGAAUCAGUAUUUGUUCCUCUAAUAGCUCCCUGUAGUGAUUUACUGAAGUGUGAGAAUUCUCAGCUAAAUGUGAGCUCUUUCAUGUAAGGACCAUCUCUAGGAGCCCCAGUGGAGUCUGAAGAUUAUACACUAAAUGGUUGAUUUUUGGUUUAAGGAAUAAAGUUUAUGAUUUGCCUUUGCAGUGGAAAAUAUAUUAGAGUAAUUUUGCAUUAUAUAGCUGUGAGCAACAUACACCAUAACUCUCGGUUUUAGAAAAACUGAGGUCCAAAGCAGCUGUAUUGCUUGCUAAAGUUAUACAGAAUGUUCCUUAAACUGAGUUGGCACUGUGUUCAUUUCUCUUUCCCUCCUAUGUACUUUUCAAGACCAGCAUUUGCCAAACUAUGCUGCACAGACACUAGGGCCUUAGGCUAUGGAACUGGAGUCAUGUCCAGUAAAGGAGAAUGUGUAAUAUUGGGAGAAAAAAACCUUCAGUUAAAGAAAAUUUAAUGGUUUAAAAAACAAAAACAAACAAACAAAAAACUCCAGGACUCUUCUGAACUAUAAUGGGCUCAAGUGCAUAUUGCCAAAGAGAUGGCUAUAGCAUGCAGUGUUUUGCAAAGUCAUAUAUUAACACAACCCCUCUUUAAAAUUUCUCUUCUCUUAAAAAACUAUUUUUUUUUGAAAGAUACGAUUUAGAGGAGCUGUACUGAAUGAAUUCUGUCUGAUGUUCAUAAGUUAUUUAUGUCAAAGUCAUCUUGACUUUGUAUGUGAACAAAAGAAAUGGAAAAAUAUUGGUUGUGGGUUUUUUUCCUGGAUUUGGCUCCGACUUACUCCGUGAGUUUUGACAGAUUCCAAAAUGGCAGGAAAUUGUUUCCGUAGUAUCUGUUGGGAGAACAUUUAAAUUUAUCAAAUUCAAAUCCUAGGCUUAAUAUGAUUUCCAGUUUAAUUACAAGGGGGUCGUUAGAGGUAGUUAUAUUGUGAUUUGAGAAGGCACCCUCAGAAAGCUAAUAGAGAUUGGAGGUUUGGGGAGAGGACCCACAGCACUAGUCAUAGAGAGAAAGAACCCGUGAGUGUCCAGGAUCAUCAGUGCGAGGCAGUAUAAAUGCUGUCGCUACGUGGGUUCAUAAUGGUAGAAGGGACAGUUGAGUUUUUAUAGCUUCCCCAAGGGAAGAAGUAGCUUCAUUUGGUUAAAUGUGGCCUGGAAUAAAACAUCCACACAAAAGAAAUUGUGGAUUUCAGUAGGAGAAAUUGACUCAUGCUGAAUGGUCUCUCUGGACUGGAAAGGGAAGGGAGAGCUCUAGCUGGGAGUUAGUGUGGGAGGAGUGUGCCUCAGGCCCCCAGACUCUGCUGUCUUCUAGCUUUAUGACCUCAGGCAACUCCAUCUCUCUGUUUACUUAAGAGAAAAGUGGGAGGUCUUACCUAAUAUGACUGAUUCUAUGAUACCGAGCUGGGAGGGUCAAAGAAAGGAAGGCAGACUUGUCUGCACAGUUGAUUUUUGAAGGAGCAUGUUAGAGACAUGAUCACAGACUGAUUUUUUUUAACUUUUUAAAAAAUUAUUAUUAACGUAUAGUUGAUUUGCAAUGUUCCAUCAUGUUCUGUUGUACAACAAAGUGACCCAGUCACACACGUUUCCCUGUGCUAUACAGUAAGGUCCCAUUGCCCAUCCAUUGCGGAUAUAACUGUUUGCAUCCCCCAAACCCCCAAAAUGCCCAUCCCUCCCACUCCCUCCUGACCUGGGAACCC